rnacentral:lncRNA from 1 species
UACGCAGCCGGCAAGGCUGAAGUGGUACUGGGAAACAUCAUUAAGAAGAAAGGAUGGAGGAUCUUCGCGGCGUCUCAGCCUCUCCGGAGCUCACUGUUCCCAUCUGUAAGAGGGUGUGUGUGGGACCGUUCCGGCAGGGCUAUCCUGAGGGUCAGUGGCCCCAAGUCUGUAAAUCACCCACCCAGCUCAGGGCGGGACGUGUCACACUCCUCUGGGAAGUGGUCCCCUCCAGCACAGACCGGGGAGCGGUCCCCGGGUGUGAUGGAGCCCAAAGGUCGCAGAUCGGGGGCCAUCCACCCUUCUCUCCCAGGAGCCUAUGGGCCCUUCCCAGGCCAAGGUCCUCACCCACCUUGGGACCAACUGGGCUGAGCACUUGCCUACAUUUUGAGGCUCCCCAGACCCCUGGACACAGCUUUAUCUCAAGGUGCUGACAAGCCCCGGGGCCCUGUUCCUUAAUAAAUGCGUCUUUAUUUUCAGAAACAUCAGAAGCAGUUAUAAAGUUGGGCCUCCCUCCUCCCUCCCCUCGAAAUGCCACUCAGAAUCCCAGUGCCAAGGGGAGCCCCCGCCCCCUCCCCCAUGGAUUCCUGACACCCCUUCCUCUUGUCCCAUCAAAUUUGUUUUUUGGCAACUCUGAUCCCAAAACAAAUUCCUCCUCACCCUGUAAUUAAACGAAAUUGCACGUA